rnacentral:rRNA from 1 species
CACGAACGCUGGCGGCAGGCUUAACACAUGCAAGUCGAGCGCCCCGCAAGGGUAGCGGCAGACGGGUGAGUAACGCGUGGGAAUCUACCCAUCUCUACGGAAUAACGCAUGGAAACGUGUGCUAAUACCGUAUACGUCCUUCGGGAGAAAGAUUUAUCGGAGAUGGAUGAGCCCGCGUUGGAUUAGCUAGUUGGUGGGGUAAAGGCCUACCAAGGCGACGAUCCAUAGCUGGUCUGAGAGGAUGAUCAGCCACACUGGGACUGAGACGCGGCCCAGACUCCUACGGGAGGCAGCAGUGGGGAAUAUUGGACAAUGGGCGCAAGCCUGAUCCAGCCAUGCCGCGUGAGUGAUGAAGGCCCUAGGGUUGUAAAGCUCUUUCACCGGUGAAGAUAAUGACGGUAACCGGAGAAGAAGCCCCGGCUAACUUCGUGCCAGCAGCCGCGGUAAUAC